CCCGCCCCUCCCCUGCCUCCCUCGUCCUGCCACGUGCAAGCCAGUACCGCGAAUACAGCUCUGAGCUUCCAAAAGCAGCAUUUGCAUGUCAUUUUGGGAAGGAGAAUGAGGGAAUAACAGGUUUCCAUCGAGCGAAGCAGCAGAGGGUGUUAGCGAGGCAGCAAGAAGCCCGCACCCGAGACACGGGAAGCGUCCAGGCUGGAAGCCCUGUCCAGAACAGCCCCGUUUUCCUCCCGGCGUUAUUAGCCCAAGGAGGGAAAAAUCCAGCCCACAACGCCGACUUUUCUGGGGCUCCACGUUUUGACAAAAGCAGCUCAGGGAAAGUUCCUGCUGCUCGUCCGCAAGGGGCGAGAGGCAGAGGACGUAAAGGAGCUCGUGCCGAGCAGCCCAGCAGCGGUCCUGCCCGCAGCUGCAGGCUGGGCCAGGACGAACAGCCGAGAAGGAAGCGCAGCUGCGAAGGUUUGGGGACCCACCGCACCCUUUGGAAGCUCUGCCAGUGGUUACCCACCCCUGCUACUAAAAAAAGGGAGGGGGGAAAAAAAAAGAAGAGAAGAAAAGGUCCCGUAUUCCUGGUCUCAGCUUGUCUAACCUCAGCUUCCAUCACUGGCCCUUGCUCUGCCCUAAAUUUCCAGCUCGCGGUUUCCCAGCACAAUGGCCAGGGGAAUGAAAGAAGAAAAGAAGGAACUGGAAGAAAUUCAACUGUUAUCGCAGCCGCAGCAAGCAGGAGCCUUCUCUGCCGAGCCUCACGCACCUGAGCCUUUCGUGACGGAUACUGUACGUCAAGCUCCUGGAAAACUCGCCGAUGACUUACAGCAGUUUAUCACUGUCGUGCAUUUAGUUAACACUCUUAUUUUCACAGCGAACGUGUGAGGGGCUGAAAUAAGCUGUCAGUCAUGAAUAAAGAGGUCAUCAACUUAAAAAGGCUGAGACACGCCGGACCAGGGCACAUCUUUCAGGUGCGCUAUUGCAGGGCGAGCGAGAAGCCCCGCUAGAUACCAACCGUUUCCAGUUUGCGUUUCUCUUGCUGCGGCUUCCAGCCCCUGGAAGGGGUCUGCGCAU
rnacentral:lncRNA from 1 species